rfam:Gossypium raimondii Chr09_contig_1509, whole genome shotgun sequence.
CACGUCAGCGCGACUUAUUGACGUGGAAAGAAAUCGUGUCCUUGAGGGCGCGAUUUCUUUCCACGUCAGCAAGUCGCGCUAACGUGG